GGAAAAAAUCCCUCGAUAAAUCCGUCGGUAAUGCACCCUUCAUUUACUAAAUGAAAUAUCCGUUGGUAAAUUUGUUGGUAAAAUGAGAAUUUUCCUGUCCAUUUUUCCUCUCUGUCCGUGAGCAAAGUGCUUAUAUAUCUCUUUUUUUCUCAUUUCUUCCUCAUUUGUGCGUGGCUUUUUUCCUACUUCUCCAUCUUCUUCUUCUUCUCUUCCACUCCAUUGCAGCUACAAAUCAAGACUGCCUCCAUCUCCGUUCAGCAAGAUCGCUGCUCCGUUCAGCCACCUCCAUCUUUCUUCUCUUCAACCACUGUCAGCACCGUCCAAUGUCUUCUUUCUUCCCCUUUCACGCUUCACUUGCUUCCACCACUGGGCAACUCUCUUUUGUUCUUCCAUUUUCACGCUCAGGAACUUCUACCACCGUGCAACAAUAUUUUUUUGCACUAUAACGAUUUUGAAGAAGAACGAUUGGUAAAAAUGAUUUUGUCCACUUUAACGACCAAAGUCAACCUUUUAAUUCAGC
rnacentral:lncRNA from 1 species